UACGAAGGGGGCGAGCGUUGUUCGGAAUCACUGGGCGUAAAGGGCGCGUAGGCGGCCGGCUUUGUCGCGUGUGAAAGCCCCGGGCUCAACCUGGGAAUGGCGCGCGAAACGGGCGGGCUGGAGUUCGGGAGAGGAGCGUGGAAUUCCCAGUGUAGAGGUGAAAUUCGUAGAUAUUGGGAAGAACACCGGUGGCGAAGGCGGCGCUCUGGACCGAGACUGACGCUGAGGCGCGAAAGCGUGGGGAGCAAACAGG
rnacentral:rRNA from 1 species